UCCCUGGUGGUCUAGUGGUUAAGAUUUGGUGCUCUCACCUCUGUUGCCCAGGUUCUAUUCCCAGUUAGGGAA